CCCUUCCAGAUUCCUCCCCUCUCAUAUCUGAACAUUGGUCUGAGUGGUAAAAAGAGGAGGAAAAGUUAAAACUGAAGUGGACUUGGAGUCUUUAAUGACUUACAAGAUCAUUUCAAACAUUA
rnacentral:snoRNA from 1 species